rnacentral:rRNA from 1 species
UACGUAGGGUGCGAGCGUUGUCCGGAAUUAUUGGGCGUAAAGAGCUUGUAGGCGGUUUGUCGCGUCUGCUGUGAAAAUCCGGGGCUCAACCCCGGACUUGCAGUGGGUACGGGCAGGCUAGAAUGUGGUAGGGGAGACUGGAAUUCCUGGUGUAGCGGUGGAAUGCGCAGAUAUCAGGAGGAACACCGAUGGCGAAGGCAGGUCUCUGGGCCACUACUGACGCUGAGGCGCGAAAGCCAGGGGAGCAAACGGG